UACGUAGGGGCCGAGCGUUGUCCGGAGUUACUGGGCGUAAAGCGUGCGCAGGCGGCUCGUCAAGCCUGACGUGAAAGCCCCCGGCUCAACCGGGGAGGGUCGUCGGGGACUGGCGGGCUUGAGGUCGGCAGGGGUUGGUGGAAUUCCCGGUGUAGUGGUGAAAUGCGUAGAGAUCGGGAGGAACACCCGUGGCGAAGGCGGCCAACUGGGCCGGACCUGACGCUGAGGCGCGAAGGCGUGGGGAGCGAACGGG
rnacentral:rRNA from 1 species